GGGUUGGUGAGGGCAAUCUAGUCAACACCCGUCACUCCAUUGCUUGUUAGGAUUAUUUUAGCCGAUUUGUCUGACUGGGCAGGUGUCCCCUCUCUUCCUCAGUGCUCCAUGUGCAUCCCUCUUGAAGCUUCGCACUCUGUUGAAGAGGACACUCAUCCCAGGUAGAGAGGGGGACGGGAAACUGGGCCAA
rfam:Nomascus leucogenys chromosome 2, whole genome shotgun sequence.